rnacentral:rRNA from 1 species
ACGCUCGACACCUACGGGAGGUAGCAGUGGGGAAUAUUGCACAAUGGGGGAAACCCUGAUGCAGCGACGCCGCGUGGAGGAAGAAGGUCUUCGGAUUGUAAACUCCUGUUGUUGGGGAAAAAGAGGAUGGUACCCAACAAGGAAGUGACGGCUAACUACGUGCCAGCACGCCGGACGGUAAUCUGAGGCGGGCUGGACGAAGGC